rnacentral:rRNA from 1 species
UACGUAGGGUGCAAGCGUUAAUCGGAAUUACUGGGCGUAAAGCGUGCGCAGGCGGUUGUGCAAGACAGAUGUGAAAUCCCCGGGCUCAACCUGGGAAUUGCAUUUGUGACUGCACGGCUAGAGUGUGUCAGAGGGGGGUAGAAUUCCACGUGUAGCAGUGAAAUGCGUAGAGAUGUGGAGGAACACCGAUGGCGAAGGCAGCCCCCCUGGGCUAACACUGACGCUCAUGCACGAAAGCGUGGGGAGCAAACAGG